rnacentral:rRNA from 1 species
UACGUAGGGAGCAAGCGUUAAUCGGAAUUACUGGGCGUAAAGGGUGCGUAGGCGGUUCGUUAAGUCUGUCGUGAAAUCCCCGGGCUCAACCUGGGAAUGGCGAUGGAUACUGGCGAGCUAGAGUGUGUCAGAGGAUGGUGGAAUUCCCGGUGUAGCGGUGAAAUGCGUAGAGAUCGGGAGGAACAUCAGUGGCGAAGGCGGCCAUCUGGGACAACACUGACGCUGAAGCACGAAAGCGUGGGGAGCAAACAGG